GAUGAACGCUAGCGGCAGGCCUAAUACAUGCAAGUCGAACGGCAGCACGGGUAGCAAUAUCUGGUGGCGAGUGGCGCACGGGUGCGUAACGCGUAUGCAAUCUACCUUUAACUGGUGAAUAGCCCGAAGAAAUUCGGAUUAAUACACCAUAAUAUAUUAGAGUGGCAUCACUUUAAUAUUAAAACUACGGUGGUUAAAGAUGAGCAUGCGUGACAUUAGCUAGUUGGUGAGGUAAUGGCUCACCAAGGCUACGAUGUCUAGGGGAUCUGAGAGGAUUAACCCCCACACUGGUACUGAGACACGGACCAGACUCCUACGGGAGGCAGCAGUAAGGAAUAUUAAGACAAUGGUGGCAACACUGAUCCAGCCAUGCCGCGU
rnacentral:rRNA from 1 species